rnacentral:rRNA from 1 species
UACGAAGGGGGCUAGCGUUGUUCGGAAUUACUGGGCGUAAAGCGCGCGCAGGCGGUCUUCCAAGUCAGUGGUGAAAGCCCGGAGCUCAACUCCGGAACUGCCAUUGAAACUGUGAGACUUGAGGAUGAGAGAGGUGAGUGGAAUUCCCAGUGUAGAGGUGAAAUUCGUAGAUAUUGGGAAGAACACCGGUGGCGAAGGCGGCUCACUGGACCAUAACUGACGCUGAUGCACGAAAGCUAGGGGAGCAAACAGG